rnacentral:rRNA from 1 species
GACGAACGCUGGCGGCGUGCUUAACACAUGCAAGUCGAACGGUGAAGCGCCUUCCUUUUUGGUGGGUGUGGAUGAGUGGCGAACGGGUGAGUAACACGUGAGUAACCUGCCCCCUUCUUCUGGAUAACCGCAUGAAAGUGUGGCUAAUACGGAAUAUUCUGGGUCUGUCGCAUGAUGGGUCUGGGAAAGAUAUUGUUUCGGUGGGGAAUGGGCUCGCGGCCUAUCAGCUUGUUGGUGGGGUGAUGGCCUACCAAGGCGGUGACGGGUAGCCGGCCUGAGAGGGUGGACGGUCACACUGGGACUGAGACACGGCCCAGACUCCUACGGGAGGCAGCAGUGGGGAAUAUUGCACAAUGGGCGCAAGCCUGAUGCAGCGACGCCGCGUGAGGGAUGGAGGCCUUCGGGUUGUGAACCUCUUUCGCCAGUGAAGCAGGCCUGCCUCGUUUGUGGGUGGGUUGACGGUAGCUGGAUAAGAAGCGCCGGCUAACUACGUG